GAGAUACUAGCUCAGUUGGUAGAGCACCUGACUUUUAAUCAGGGUGUCGCGGGUUCAAGUCCCGCGUGUCUCA
rnacentral:tRNA from 1 species